rnacentral:misc_RNA from 1 species
UCAAACUUGGUCAUUUAGAGGAAGUAAAAGUCGUAACAAGGUCUCCGUAGGUGAACCUGCGGAGGGAUCAUUACCAGAGAUGGCGGGCUCCGGCCCCCGUCCCCAACCCUUUGUCGACCAACUCUUUUUGCCUCGGGGGCGGUACGUCCGCGUCGGCCCCCGGUGGACCACUAAACUCUGUCUCUGUACGUCGGAGUCGAAAGCAAAUGAAUGAAAACUUUCAACAACGGAUCUCUUGGUUCUGGCAUCGAUGAAGAACGCAGC